GGGCCUCAGUGGUAGAGAUCUGCUUUGGAUGCAGAUGUUCCCAGGUUGAAUUCCUGGCAUCUCCA
rnacentral:tRNA from 1 species